CCCACGUUGCCAUUUCACGCAGAGUUGGAGCAUAGCACGGGACAGCCUCAUUGUGCCGGCAUCGGCCGCUGCUCUCUGCUGAUGCCUCUGCCCUGGGGGAUGUGCUCUCAUCUCGGGGCGGGUCAGCAGCGCUUCUGCUGCCUCCUCCUGCUACCCACACCUGCAGGGAAGCGCCGUGUGCCUGCCGAGCCUCCCGCGGGAGCCGUGCGGCCGGAGCUGAGCGGCGAGGAGCCCGCAGCAGAGGGGACUCCGAGCAGCAGCUGCGGAACCUGGGGGGAAGCUCAGCAAGCUGGGAUCAUCGUGCAAGAGUCACUGUUCUGAAUGGCGCAGUGAAGCUUCAGGUUGACAGGGAACUGUUUUUUCAUAUUAUGAACUGCAUAGAGUAAAAGAAGAUGACAAACCUCUUCAACUCACAACACAGUGAUCACUUCCACGUCUCUCUGAUGUCCUCCAAAAGAAGGCCAAAUACUAUUAAGGCUUACAUAACUUCAAAUCAAUUAGAAAUGUAUUGUAAUUAUUAAAAUUGCUGGUAGAAUCACCACACAAAUUACAGAAGUUGAGAGUUCUCAUAGGACACUUUGCCUAUUUUCCAUGAGAUUUAACACUUUAACCAACUGUCAAUGUCAAUUAUUUGCCAUUGCACCAGUAUAAAACUGCAAGAACAGUGUUUAUGUGUAAGGCCACUGGGAGAAGUAAGGUCAGAAAUUAUAUAGCAAAUCUCCCUUGAGAUUUGUUAGGUAUUUUACUGGGGUUAGAUUUGCUGGGGUAACUUGCCUGGGGUUAGGUAAAAAAAAAAAAAGGACAGCCCAGCUUCACUGCUGGUUGGGCCUGUGUGCAAGCCUCAGACACAUAUUUCUUGCCGAAGCAGCUCCUCAGCUAUGGUCUAGAGACUCUUGCAGACUUUUUGAUUAAACCAGUAUGGUUACCCAUAACAAUUUCAUUAAACUAUUUCUGUACAGGCUUUUGCUUGUUAGUCUUUCCCCUGGUAGAAGUCUGUAUGUUCUGUGCUCCACUCCUAAAACAAACAACAUGCAGAUAAAUAUGGUGCAAAGCACUUACCACAACUGAAAAAUAAACUUCUAACCACAGUGAGGGAGAGGAAAAGAGCUGGGUAUUUUGUGGUCCCCAAAGGAAAUUGAAAUCUGCUUUUUGGUGGAGACAUGCUUCAAAAGAUGAAACCAACCAAAUGGGGAAAAUGUCUCCUUUGCUUGGGUAUGUGCACAGCAUAUUAAUGGUUGCCAAAAGUUAAAUGGGAAGCACUGUUGAUAUUAUUGUCUGUUUGUUGUUAAAUAAAAAUCAUUCAAGCUUUGUUCCCUUCUCCAGUGGAUUAAUAAAAGACAUCACCCUGAAUCAAAUGUGAUCAAGUUUCCUUUUAGCAUAUCAUGCCUUGCUGCCACACACUUCAGACAGUGGCUGCUGCAAAACAUUUUGUUUAGUACUUUGUUUAUUAUUGUUUUCUAGUAGACAAAUGGUCCCAAAUGUAAUUUUUUCCCUGAAAUUCCAAUGGUCCACUAUACUUUGAAAUAAAACAGAUGGUAAAAGCUUC